UUCCACAUUUUAUUAGGAUCAACUCAUCCUUGUUAAAAAUUCUUUUUCCUUUCUUUUUUAACAAACAAUACUUGUUCAACCGAACACAAAACGUCAUGCUUAUAAGGAAACGAUCGAAAUGUCUAAAAGUUCAACUAUUUUUAAUUCAAUUCAAAUUCAAUUAAUUUAGGGAUCAUUAGGCGAUCCAACUGUUUGAAAUGGAGACUCGACUAGGAUCCUUAAACACGCUAGUUGAAAUCUGUGAUCUGCUGAUAGAAUUUAAAAUCAAACAAGUCGCUAAUAAACUAAAAAUUCUUGUUUUUCAUUUGAAAAAGUUGUGCAAGACCGGGGGGAGUGACGGGUUCCUAGUAAGAGCACAGCCAUUUCAUUGUGGGGUGAAAAAUGAGCGCACGAGUGUAAUAAUCGUCCCGUUAAUAAGGCUGCAUAACUGAAUUUUUGGCCAAUCGCGAUUCACUGCUAAUUAGUACCCCCUAAGGCCCCUAUACCCUAGUGAGUGCUGAUAAUGGAGACAUAACAACGCUGCAGUAAUGCGAUUUGGCUACUGGAUCAGUUACUGAGUGCUAUUUAAUCAAGGUACAAUCAGAGACGUGGGGCAGAUAAGAGAAGAGGCGCAAACAAGAUCCUGCAAGUCACUUAGUGAAAAAAACAAAUAACCGGUGACAGUGUCAUGUGAUUGUUUGUCAUCAAACGUUGAAAUAACAAGUUGUUUGUUUUUGGUAGCACCGGCAAGCACAGGCAAAUAAGAAAAGGAAGAAGCUAUAAACAACUAACCUUUUGUCAUGUUAUUUCCAGUGUUGGAUUGGAUGAUGAAUACACGUCAACGGUUGGAUUUCCAUCGAGUUGACUGGAACAUUGCCCCAGCUGAUUCUUUGGCACGAAACUUUGGCUGCAAUCAACACACAACAGUCAUGAAACCUAUGAAGAAAAAAUAGAAUAAGUCAUGCAAUAAAUGUGACACCUUGUUCUUGUUAGUUUCUCACGGAUCCAAAUGACGUCGAAUUCGUCCUGCUCGCCGUCUCGUCGUGGGAAUCUCCAUGAUGACAUUUACCACAAGAUAUUGGUGAGAGACCGUUAACGAGACUAUGGCUGUCACCAAAAGUUACGUACGGUAUAUUAUUACAAUUGCCGAUUAUUGUGAGGGAAGAAUUAUGGCGGGAAA